rnacentral:rRNA from 1 species
UACGUAGGGUGCGAGCGUUGUCCGGAAUUAUUGGGCGUAAAGGGCUCGUAGGCGGUUUGUCACGUCGGGAGUGAAAACUCGGGGCUUAACUCCGAGCCUGCUUCCGAUACGGGCUGACUAGAGGUAUGCAGGGGGAGAACGGAAUUCCUGGUGUAGCGGUGAAAUGCGCAGAUAUCAGGAGGAACACCGGUGGCGAAGGCGGCAUCCUGGACCAAUUCUGACGCUGAGGAGCGAAAGCCAGGGGAGCAAACGGG